AUUGAACGCUGGCGGCAGGCCUAACACAUGCAAGUCGAGCGGAUGAAGGGAGCUUGCUCCUGGAUUCAGCGGCGGACGGGUGAGUAAUGCCUAGGAAUCUGCCUGGUAGUGGGGGAUAACGUCCGGAAACGGGCGCUAAUACCGCAUACGUCCUGAGGGCGAACGUGGGGGAUCUUCGGACCUCACGCUAUCAGAUGAGCCUAGGUCGGAUUAGCUAGUUGGUGGGGUAAAGGCCUACCAAGGCGACGAUCCGUAACUGGUCUGAGAGGAUGAUCAGUCACACUGGAACUGAGACACGGUCCAGACUCCUACGGGAGGCAGCAGGGGGGAAUAUUGGACAAUGGGCGAAAGCCUGAUCCAGCCAUGCCGCGUGUGUGAAGAAGGUCUUCGGAUUGUAAAGCACUUUAAGUUGGGAGGAAGGGCAGUAAGUUAAUACCUUGCUGUUUUGACGUUACCAACAGAAUAAGCACCGGCUAACUUCGUG
rnacentral:rRNA from 1 species